AUGUUACCGGCACAUAUUUUCGAGUUGAAAAGAGCCGCUGCGAGAGCAGGAGCAUUAACCGCCCUUAUUCGAGCCAAGGCCUGGAUUCCAGACCUUGAAGCGAAGGAUAUCAUUAAAGGAUAUUCAGGCGUUAAAGAAGACAGUUCAAACUUUGACAAUGAUGAUCUUCGACGGCUGACCAAACAGAUGCGGCCAGCGGCCAGCAAAUUGGCUGAGGACACCGAUUUGUCCCAUUUUCAAUCGUUUUAUGAUGCAGAAGGAAAAAGACAGCCGACCGAUAUCCAUGAAGUCGAAGAACUUGUGCCUCCGAUUCCGGCUAGGGAGGGAUGA
rnacentral:rRNA from 1 species